GCCUUAGCUCAGUUGGUAGAGCAACGGACUGAAAAUCCGUGUGUCCCUAGUUCGAUUCUUGGAG
rnacentral:tRNA from 3 species